rnacentral:piRNA from 1 species
UCGAUACUCCACGCCAACCACUCCGUGUC